AAGGGUGAGUGAAAGACUGACAUGAAUUAGCUCUUAGAACACUCACCCAAACUUCAUUCGAAAUAGUUAAGGCAUUUCGACAGACAGACUGACAUUUUCUGUUUCUCCGGU